UCCAAUCAAUUAAAAAUUAAAAUACAUGAAGAAAACACCCGAACCCUCUUCUUAACCACACUCUUUACAAGAUACUAUAGUUCAAGCAACCUCAAGAUUUAGACACCAAGGGUGAAAAUCAUAGAAAAAACCAACAUCUUUUGCCUUAAUCCAAUACUAAGAAGCUAAUUAAGCUUUUCAAAAAUGUGUGAAAGGUUGAAUUCGAGUUGAUUAAAAACAAAAUACUUUUGCAUCUUUCAAAUUGAUCAAAGAGAUACCAUCCAAUAUAGCACAAAAUUUAAACAUCACCUUUUAUUCUUUAAGAUUUUUAAACCAUUAAAGUAAUGCUUAAUUGCAGUUUUGGUUCUCCUUUUUGUUUCUCUUCAGUUUUGGUCUCUCAAACAGAAUUUUGGUUCAAAACUUGAUAAAAUUUCAUUUUUUUAAGGCACACCACACCAUUUAUGAUCAUAGAUUUCAGGUACAAUUGUUGUACCACGAGAAUUUGGGGUAUGGUGUGACUUGAAUAAAUGCAAAAAAAAAAAAAAAAAAAAAAAAAAAAAAAAAAAAAAAAAAAAAAAAAAAAAAAAAAAAAAAAAUUCAUCAAAUUUUAGACCAAAAUUUUGUUUUUGGGACUAAAACUAGAGAGAAAUAAAAUAGAAGGACUACUUUUAUGAUUCAACUAAAAUAAGAGAACUAAAAUUGCAAUUAAGCCUUAAAGUAAAGAGCAUGAACUUCCACAUCGAUGUUGAAAAUGCUAGAAAAUCCCAGCCGUUGAAGGACUGCCUCUAAUAAAGACAAAACAUUUGGAUAUUAAAAAAACAAACAUCAAUUUGUUUCCGAUGCACCCCAUUCAAAAAC
rnacentral:lncRNA from 1 species